AAACCGGGGAACGUUAAAACCUUAACGAUGAAACUAAUCAAAUACACAUGAUUAAGAAAGUUAAAACUCCGGUGGUAAAAGAUGGACUCGCGUCCCAUUAGCUAGUUGGUGAAGGUAACGGCCCACCAAGGCAACGAUGGGUAGCCGGCCUGAGAGGGUGAACGGCCACAUUGGAACUGAGAAACGGUCCAAACUCCUACGGGAGGCAGCAGAU
rnacentral:rRNA from 1 species